AAGCAACCGUGAACCAUUGCACAUUAGCAACAAAAGAGGUAUAUCAGUUUACCAUCCCCGCUGCCUUGACACUAUCACAACACAAUGCAAGUUCAUAUACUAUCCGAUCUUUACUGAUGCUCGUUUUCUACUUUUCGGUUAUCAAAUAUUAAGAGAAACACCACUAUGCUAACAAGCGAAAGGUUCAGGCCGACAGGACUUUGACACGGGGUAACAUGUCCAUCUCCGUUUCUCAUGGUUAACGAUGUUUUUCCCUAACCAUGGGCUAAAAAUCAUAUGCUACCGUGCAGGACCACAUCCCAUUGGUUAUGACAAUUAGACCCAUUAGUCAGAAUCUUUCAGAUAUCAUCAUCUAUAAAGAUAUUAUGUACUGGUGAUUUGAUCCAUUGUGCCACUCAUACUUCACCUAUUUGGAUCAUUUAGCUCGAGCAAUUUGCACAAUCUUAUUCUUACAGUAAGUGUAGAGUAUUCAUAUAUACAUAUAAAGUUAGUCAUGAUCCGCUUCCUGUAUGUUAUGUAGGUCCGACAUAUUCUAAACUUAAAAUAUUAAUGGGCAGUACGAAUGACCUUAAGUGAACCAUUUCCUGCAAAUUAAACUAAAUCUUGCCAUCUUCAGUAAUCAUGCAUAUACAUGUGCAUUAGUUUUUAUCAAAUAUUGUAGCAUGGUGUUAAUUUGGUUGGACUGGUCAACUGUUCUAGCAAUUCUUGCUGCAAUAUUCAUUCUAUAGUAUGUACUAGAUCUUAGACAAGAUAAUUUCCUAUCUAUUAAUAAAUUUUUAUGGACAAGAUUAUUAUAUCUGUUUCUUCCUAGACAGAAAAUACAUUUUCUGACUUUUAUACUUUUCCAUAUGCUUUUCUGGAAUUUGCACACACACACACACACACACACACACACACACACACACACACACACACAUGCAAUUAAUAUGGUUUUUAAUCAUCCAAAUUUACCAUGAAUCUCAGCAAUCAGCCUUUUAAAGAGGUGUUCAUGAGUGAUGUAUAGUUGCACACAAGGAGGAUUUGUGCCAUGUGGCACUAUCCGUUCAAAGAAAUGCUUUUAUCCCGCUGCAAGUUGUUUUCAAUGUUUUUCUAAGAACAAAAUGCUUUCUUUGUCUUUGUUAAUUUGAACUUUCAAUAUAAUCAUUCUUCAACUUUAGUUUUUCAUUGCCUUAGUUAUCCCCAUUAAUUUAGUCUUUUAGUAUAUUUAUUUUGUGUUGUUGUGCUGCUCUAGGUUUGUAUCCUGGUCAGAAUGUGUAUAAUUGUAGCUGACACAGAGAUUAUACAGAGGUGGCAAGAAGAACACUCUGCACUGUACUGUAAUCUGUGUGUGUGCCUGUCAAACUGUUUAUUGAAUACUUUUGGCAACUGAAAAAAAUGCUUCCAAUGUUGCUAAUGUUGAGAACCAUUGCUGAUGGUCUUAGAAAGGGAGGGGUUUCGGAAUUAUUUUGGGGUGUUAAAAUUUCACUAAAAAAUAUUGUUGACCAAAACGUUGGGACCGGCACCCUCGCGCCAAGGCAAACAACUAAACUGUAAUGUAGCUUUGAACAAGGGGAGGAAUUUAUAAAGAUUAUUGCAUCUCUUUUUGUUUCCAAUAAUGACAUUUUUGCUUCUCACUUUGUAAUGAUUAUACUACUGAUCAGUUUGUGUUGUGCUUCUUAGUAUCUUGCCAAUUCUAUUUUGCCUGGUCAAGCAUGUGCUUUUUUUGCUGCCAUGUCAAGAACACAAAGAAUGCCAAUGUGUUUUAAUUUAUUUCCACUACAAUUUUUUCCUGUUGCCAAAAGUGGCUUCUCUGGAAAAAGGAAAUGCAUGGUGUCUUUUGUGCAGGUUGGUUUGCACAAGGUGCUGUAGUUUUCAAGAUAUAUCAUGUGCUCAAAUGUUUGAAUCAAAGGCUUAUGUUGUGUACCGAAAGAAUCCUGAGAAAUUUUAGAAGGUGAGUUCUGUUGGAAAUAUGUUGAUCCUUACUAUUAUUAUAUUAUCUUUUGCAUGAACAUUUGAUGCUCAAGUUUAAAAAAAAUCAUAGAAAUCUUGGUGUUUUCUGCUCUUAUUGUUCCUAAUUUUAUAGGAGACCUGGAUGACUACCUAGGAUUUAGAUGUGUUAGCCCAGACCCCGAGAUAUAUCAUGCGCUCAAUGUUACAUAUAUAUUCACAUUUAGUGGAAAUGAGCAUGCAGUAAUUAACUGGACUAUAGUAGAUGGACUGAGAACAUAACAGAAAAAGUCGGGAAUAGAAGGUCCUGAAGGAGAUAUUUUCGUAAUUGUGGCUUGGCAGCUCAAAUUGAGCAUCAUUGUGGCUGUAGUUUAGUGGUGAGAAUUCCACGUUGUGGCCAUGGAGACCUGGGCUUGAAUCCCAGCAGCCACACAAUUUUUUUCUCUCGCAUUCUUUCUUUUUGACAGUACAUUUCUUGCAAUCUAGCAGUACUGAUUGCAUGUUAUUACUCCUGCAAGAUGAUUAGAUUAUUCUUUUCGUGCAAAAAAUCACCUCACGCGUUAUUAAUCUGAAAUGGAUUUUAACCUGUUUGAGCAACUUUCUAUGAUGAUAAGAAGUUAUAACAAGUGAAUUUUUCAAAAAAAUAACAUGAGUGAAAUGAAGGUCAAUUUCCUAUCAAGUACUCUGGAACUGUGAGCUUAUUAGAUAUUUGGAUCCUUUAAGAUCAUCGAAAAUCUUCAGGCUAAAGAGGUAUAUUGCCAAGGAGCAAUCAUAUAUGGCCAGGCCAUGCUAAGGCCGAGGACGGUGGCCGCCAUCACACGGUGUCUGUCUUCUUAUUCCACUAUUUUUUCAAAUUGAAUUUGGAAUUGAAUGUGUGAACUCAGUGUUCUGGCAGAUCGGAAACAAGUUUUGUGUGCAAUGCAAUCUUUAUAUGAUACAUACCUCAUAUCAAAAACUGAUAGAUGGCUGGUUAGAGUGCUAACUCCUAGCUUUUAUUUCUGGAUCUGCGAUGACCAUGUUCUAAUCAUCUCCUUCCGCCAUGAGGCAGGGUUAGGUUAGACAAAUUGGUUGCUAGAUUAGGAAGAGUUCUGAUCAUCUAGCUGUAAAAAAUUCUCCUCUUUACAUAAAUUUGACUUUUGAUUUCAAAUGCCCUACAUCUUUAGUGGGAGAAGCACAAAAGGGUUGUAGUUGAGGCGAGGCUGGGAACACAGGAUGCAUGGAUGGUGAUGUAGAGGCUUCUCACUAUGUCCAUUGUGUUUUAUUUUUCCUUGCCACAGUUCUAUGUAUGCGUAUGUAUGCGUUGGGCAGCUGAUUCAACUGGCUAAAUUUUAACCACGUCGAUUCUUCCAUGUUUUGUGACCAUAGCCUUUUUGAUUGGUUGACAAAAACAUUCUUAUCAUUAACGUAAGUUUAAUUCUGAAAGUUUAAGUUGUAUAUGUGAGCUUGAUGAUCUGCCAUAAAAUAUAUUUUUGUGAGAAGAUGGCUGGAAUCUUGGUAGAAGAAUACCAUGCUGAAACCUGAAGAAUGCACAUAUAUAAUUUUCCCUAAAAUAACAGGAACUAUUCAAGAUUUGAGAUGUUUUUAUGAUGGUUCAGAAAAUACGGUUAUACUUUUGUUUUGUUGGCUAUGAGACUAACAAAGGGGAGCUUAUGUUGGCUAUGAGAUUAACAAAGGGGACCUUAUGUUGGCAAUGAGAUUAACAAAGGGGACUUUAUGUUGGCUGAUCAAAGUUACUCUUAACUUUUGUUUUGUUUUGAUUAACUUGGACUUUCAGUUAACAACUUCCUUUUUCCAUUUGUAGGCUGAAGCUCAAGGCAUCACUCAAAACAGAGUAAGAAAAUAAGCUGGGAAUGGUGCAGUGGUAUGAAAUUAAAAAGAAACUGAAUAUAAAGUUGAAGAGCUGGAGCCAAGCAUGUUGGCAUGCGGUCAUGCUCUGGUUUAUUUACAAGUAUUGAGAUAGUGGUUAAGUUUGUUUUUGUUUCUCUAGGUUUUAGCAUUUUUGGUCUAAAUGCCACCAUCGUGUCACGAAAUUCUCUCCCUUUAGUGUGACAGCAAGAGAAGAAAGUGUGUAAAGAAUAUAGUGUGGUCCAUUUCUGCUUAUGUCAUAGUCAGUGUAACUUGAUGCUAAACCUGGAUUCCACUAACUUAUUGCAUUACCUGCUUGCCCAAAAUGUUGGAACCGGCAUCCUCUCUGGUCUUAUGAAAGCACCGAAUUUAAUUC
rnacentral:lncRNA from 1 species